rnacentral:rRNA from 1 species
AGUCUUUCUGCCCAUUGUUUUUUAAAGGCUGCAGUAUAUUGACUGUACAAAGGUAGCAAAAUCAAUAGUUUUUUAAUUGGAAACUUGAAUGAAAGAAUUAAUAAAAUAUAAACUGUCUCAAAAUUUGAAUUUAAAUUUUAAGUUAAAAUGCUUAAAUUUAUUUAUUAGACGAUAAGACCCUAAGAAUUUAAAAAUAUUAAUUAUUUUAAAAUUUUAAUUUAAUUAAUUUUUUUUUAUUGGGAGGGUAGUUAAAUAAAACUUUAAUUUUUAAUAACAUAAAUAAAUGAAUUUUUUGAUAAUUUUUAUAAUUAAAAGAAUAAAUUACCUUAGGGAUAACAGCGUAAUAAUUUUGGAAAGUUCAUAUUAAUAGAAUUGAUUGCGACCUCGAUGUUGAAUUAAAAUAAAAAUUAAGUGUAGAAGCUUAAAUUUUUAGUCUGUUCGACUAUUAAAAUUUUAC